rnacentral:rRNA from 1 species
AAUGGGCGCAAGCCUGAUGCAGCCAUGCCGCGUGUAUGAAGAAGGCCUUCGGGUUGUAAAGUACUUUCAGCGAGGAGGAAGGGGGAAUGGUUAAUAACCAUUUUCAUUGACGUUACUCGCAGAAGAAGCACCGGCUAACUCCGUGCCAGCAGCCGCGGUAAUACGGAGGGUGCAAGCGUUAAUCGGAAUUACUGGGCGUAAAGCGCACGCAGGCGGUCUGUCAAGUCGGAUGUGAAAUCCCCGGGCUCAACCUGGGAACUGCAUUCGAAACUGGCAGGCUAGAGUCUUGUAGAGGGGGGUAGAAUUCCAGGUGUAGCGGUGAAAUGCGUAGAGAUCUGGAGGAAUACCGGUGGCGAAGGCGGCCCCCUGGACAAAGACUGACGCUCAGGUGCGAAAGCGUGGGGAGCAAA